rnacentral:rRNA from 1 species
GAUGAACGCUAGCGGCAGGCCUAAUACAUGCAAGUCGAGGGGCAGCAGGGUAGCAAUAUCGCUGGCGACCGGCGCACGGGUGCGUAACACGUAUAUAAUCUGCCUUUUACAGGGGGAUAGCCUUUCGAAAGAGAGAUUAAUACCCCAUAACAGUUGACUGGGCAUCCAGUUGAUUUGAAAGUUCCGACGGUAAAAGAUGAGUAUGCGUCUGAUUAGCUAGUAGGUGAGGUAACGGCUCACCUAGGCAACGAUCAGUAGGGGAUCUGAGAGGAUUAACCCCCACACGGAUACUGAGACACGGAUCCGACUCCUACGGGAGGCAGCAGUAAGGAAUAUUGGACAAUGCCCGCAAGGGUGAUCCAGCCAUGCCGCGUGCAGGAAGAAGGCCCUAUGGGUCGUAAACUGCUUUUACACCGGAGAAAACCCCCCUACGUGUAGGUGGCUGAUAGUAUGGUGAGAAUAAGCAUCGGCUAACUUCGUGCCAGCAGCCGCGGUAAGACGAAGGAUGCAAGCGUUAUCCGGAUUCAUUGGGUUUAAAGGGAGCGUAGGUGGACUGAUAAGUCAGUGGUGAAAUCUCUUCGCUUAACGAAGAAAUUGCCAUUGAUACUGUUGGUCUUGAGUACAGUUGCUGUGGGCGGAAUAUGACAUGUAGUGGUGAAAUACAUAGAGAUGUCAUAGAACACCGAUUGCGAAGGCAGCUCACAAAGCUGUAACUGACACUGAGGCUCGAAAGUGCGGGGAUCAAACAGGAUUAGAUACCCUGGUAGUCCGCACCGUAAACGAUGAUUACCCGCUGCUAGAGGGCAACU